GUGGGGAAUAUUGCACAAUGGGCGAAAGCCUGAUGCAGCAACGCCGCGUGAGUGAUGAAGGCCUUCGGGUUGUAAAGCCCUGUCUUCUGGGACGAUAAUGACGGUACCAGAGGAGGAAGCCACGGCUAACUACGUGCCAGCAGCCGCGGUAAUACGUAGGUGGCAAGCGUUGUCCGGAUUUACUGGGCGUAAAGGAUGCGUAGGCGGAUACUUAAGUCAGAUGUGAAAAUCCCGGGCUUAACUUGGGAACUGCAUUUGAAACUGGGUAUCUAGAGUGCGGGAGAGGAAAGUCGAAUUCCGAGUGUAGCGGUGAAAUGCGUAGAGAUUAGGAAGAACACCAGUGGCGAAGGCGACUUUCUGAACCGUAACUGACGCUGAGGCAUGAAAGCGUGGGGAGCAAACA
rnacentral:rRNA from 1 species